UCCCUGGUAGUAUAUCGGUUAGUACACGCGCCUGUCAUCCGCUGGAUUCCGACUAUCUUUCCGCGCGAAAGCGGGGUUCGACUCCCCGCCAGGGAG